UACGUAGGGUGCGAGCGUUAAUCGGAAUUACUGGGCGUAAAGCGUGCGCAGACGGUCAUGUAAGUCAGAUGUGAAAGCCCCGGGCUCAACCUGGGAAUUGCAUUUGAGACUGCUCUGCUCGGGUGCGGAAGAGGGAAGCGGAAUUUCCGGUGUAGCGGUGAAAUGCGUAGAUAUCGGAAGGAACACCAGUGGCGAAAGCGGCUUCCUGGUCCGACACCGACGUUCAGGCACGAAAGCGUGGGGAGCAAACAGG
rnacentral:rRNA from 1 species